rnacentral:rRNA from 1 species
CGUUCCCGGGCCUUGUACACACCGCCCGUCACAUCACGAAAGUGGAUUGUACUAGAAGUCCUAAGUCAAACAGGCCCAAGGUAUGAUUCAUGAUUGGGGUG